GUGUGAUAAUCUCGUGUUUAUGCUAUGGCAUUGGUCAAUCUCAUCCAGCUUAACCCGACAAAUCUGCCAAAAGAAACAUGCAGUGUGAGAGAGACGGUGCACCAAGGAAAACUUAUGUAGAAACUGACACGAACAUUGAUUGCAGGCUUUCUCUGUUUUGAAAUCUGGGAGAGGGUAGAGACUUUGUGAAGACAAGAAGAGGUUAGAAAUGCAGGAUAACCCUGAAACGUAUACGACAUGACCAAGUCCUAACCUUCCCAACGACCUGCAAGUCAUAUAACAAAGGAAAAAAUAACUCAUCAAAAUCGAUAUUUUUUAUGUUGUUUCAGAAUUAAUGAAAGGAUUUGAUACCAGUAACUAUUAAAGUGGAGCCUAGCCCAUAUUGCUCCGGUUGUGUCCUUAAUUUUCAAAGAGAAGACCACUCCUGUGGCAUUUGGAUCACAGAA